rnacentral:misc_RNA from 1 species
GAUGAAGAACGCAGCGAAAUGCGAUAAGUAGUGUGAAUUGCAGAAUUCAGUGAAUCAUCGAAUCUUUGAACGCACAUUGCGCCCCUUGGUAUUCCAUGGGGCAUGCCUGUUCGAGCGUCAUUUGUACCUUCAAGCUUUGCUUGGUGUUGGGUGUUUGUCCUCCCCUUUUGUGUUUGGACUCGCCUUAAAACAAUUGGCAGCCAGUGUUUUGGUAUAGAAGCGCAGCACAAGUCGCGAUUCUAGCUAAGUAACGCUGACAUCCAGAAGUCUUUUUUAACUUUUGACCUCGGAUCAGGUAGGGAUACCCGCUGAACUUAAGCAUAUCAAUAAGCGGAGGA